rnacentral:rRNA from 1 species
CAAUAGCGUAUAUUAAAGUUGUUGCAGUUAAAAAGCUCGUAGUUGGAUCUCAGGUCCAGGCUUGCGGUCCACUCCUUGGUGGCUACUGCUCGUCCUGACCUACCUCCCGGUUUUACCCUUGGUGCUCUUGAUUGAGUGUCUCGGGUGGCCGGAACAUUUACUUUGAAAAAUUAGAGUGCUCAAAGCAGGCUAUUACGCCUGAAUAUUCGUGCAUGGAAUAAUAGAAUAGGAAGUCGUUUCUAUUUUGUUGGUUUUCGGAAAUCGACUUAAUGAUUAAUAGGGACAGUCGGGGGCAUUUUGUAUUCAAACGACAGAGGUGAAAUUCUUGGACCGUUUGAAGACAAACUACUGCGAAAGCAUUUGCCAAGAAUGUUUUCAUUAAUCAAGAACGAAAGUUAAAGGUUCGAAGAUGAUCAGAUACCA